rnacentral:tRNA from 1 species
AAUGAAGUGCCUGAAAAAAAAGGGUUAUCUUGAUAGGAUAAAUCAUGUAAAAAUAUACCUUCAUUA